rnacentral:rRNA from 1 species
CCUACGGGUGGCAGCAGUGAGGAAUAUUGGUCAAUGGACGAGAGUCUGAACCAGCCAAGUAGCGUGAAGGAUGACUGCCCUAUGGGUUGUAAACUUCUUUUAUAAAGGAAUAAAACGAGGCACGUGUGCCUUUUUGCAUGUACUUUAUGAAUAAGGAUCGGCCAACUCUGUGCCAGACGCCGCGGUAAUACGGAGGAUCUGAGCGUUAUCCGGAUUUUUUGGGUUUAAAGGGCGCGUAGAGGGGUUGUUAAGUCAGUUGUGAAAGUUUGCGGCUCAACCGUAAAAUUGCAAUUGAUACUGGCAGUCUUGAGUACAGUUGAGGUAGGCGGAAUUCGUGGUGUAGCGGUGAAAUGCUUAGAUAUCACGAAGAACCCCGAUUGCGAAGGCAGCUUACUAAACUGUGACUGACAUUGAUGCUCGAAAGUGUGGGUAUCAAACAGGAUUAGAUACCCGGGUAGUC